UGUAUUCAAUUUGUAGACGGGUGGG
rnacentral:piRNA from 1 species